CUUGGGUGUGAAAUGACUGUCAAGUAAAUAUACAGUAGGAAGUCGACUCAAGCUGGCUCAUUGUUAUUGGCCGACCGGCGGCACAUUGACAAAGCUGCCUGGAGACAUGGCAAACAGUGACCUCACUUCUUUUCUCACUUAGAUCAAGUUAAGAAACUCAGCGGUGGAGUACAUUAGGUCACAGUGGGAAAAAGUCAAAACAAAAUCUUUCUUUUAUAUGCUGUCUUGUUGAUUAAACUGAACUGUAUUGAAUUGAAGAGUUCGGGAGCUCUAGAAAGCUGCAGACCCUCAGCCAGCACCUUAAAGUUUCUCGUCCUCAGGCCACUGGGAAACACACUGCUGGUGCUGCAGAAAACACAGAGAACGUGGCACUGGGCCCUUCCACUGACUCAGUGCCUCAGCAGUCCAUGUGGCUGUCAUUAGAGAGACAGAAAGAAAAAGAGAGAGCCUUUUGCAAUACUCCAAGCUCCUUUUUGUGUGUUUCUUCAACACGUAAAUCAAACGAAGCAGGAGAUGUUUUGCUGAUUUUGCGUAUCUGAGUUUUGAGGGCAGUAAUGGACCUAUUAAAGCCACAAUAUGUGGAGUAGACUGAAAAGUGAUGACAAUUGUAUUUAUUUAUUUAUUUUUGUGCAUAAAAACUGCAUAUUUAGAAUGAUUUCUGAAGGAUCAUGUGACACCGAACACUGGAGUAAUGAGGCUGAAAAUUCAGCGUUGCCAUCUAAGAGAAAUAAAUUAAAUAUAGGCCUACAUUUAAAAAAAUAAAAAUUAAAUAUAAAAUAAAAAUAAAAGUAUUUUAAAUUGCAAUAAUAUUUCUCAGUAUUGCUGUUUUACUGUAUUUUUGAUGAAAUAAAUGCAGCCUUGGUGAGCAUAAGAGACUUCUUUUAAAAACAUUAAAAAAAAAAUCUUUUCAAUCUCAAACGUUUGAACAGUAGUGUAUUCCUCAGGCAAUGCAUCUGUGUUUUACACUGAUGAAUUCAUUCCUAACUUUAAUGUGUGUGGUGUGUAUGUGUCCAUGCUUGUGUGAGAGAGUGUGUUUUGCUCAGAAUCCCCUCCAGUGCCCAUUAUCCUCGCUUACCACCAAACCAGAUCAAAUUAUCCCAAUAACCCCUGCAAGCCACAAGAUAAGAGGAGAUACAGCGAUUGGGAGACUGUAGCUCUGAGCCAAAACACAGCCACAUAUGGAGAGACAAACUAAUCUACAUCUUGGAUGACCUAAGGAUCUUGCAUCUAAUCCACACCAUCUGAGAUAAAGAAAUCAAACAAUGUGCAAGUUUCACUCAGAAAUGAAGCUGAUUGCAAGAAGCAAAUCACACCAAUUGGUGAGGCCAGCCCAAGCUGAACACACCUAAUAUGAAGGCUUGUCACCUUAGCCAAAAUGGAAAGUCAAAGGUGGAGCGAAAUUAUUUUGAUAAAAGAUUAAAAAUAAUUGCUGCACAUUAGAUACCAAUAAAU